rnacentral:ncRNA from 1 species
GAAAACGUGAUGAACGGGAGCAAGUACAGGGGCAAUGUCCACAGAGAGCUGCGGUUGGUGCGACGCAGUGACAGUAACCUUGGAAACUCGCCCGGAAGCGGGACGCUGGAACGUGGGAGAUCGUAAGUCAUAGAUCAUUCAUGAGUAGAGUGUCAACGGCUAACCCCCGUUAUAGCUUUUGCUAACUGUAUUCGAUCCGAAUGGGUUUGUAAAAGAUGAGUGGGGUGCCUAGGUUAAUAGCCGCUAGGGCACCAACAAGAGUGGUACCGCGGAAGGUGAAGGCCUGUCGUCUCUUUG